AUGGACUCUGGGGCGACAGAGCAUCUGACCAGCGAGAUGGGGAAGCUUCACACUCGUGAACCCUAUCAUGGCUCCGACAAGAUCCACACCGCCAAUGGAGCAGGUAUGCACAUCUCUCAUAUUGGUCAAGCAUCUCUUCUCACUAGACAUGCCAAUAGGAGUCUUCAGCUUCGCAAUGUUCUUCGCGUUCCAUCUGUGACUCGCAAUCUUCUUUCAGUUCCUAAACUCACACGUGAUAAUAAUGUGCUUUGUGAAUUUCAUCCUUUUGAUCUUUUUAUUAAGGAUCGGGGCACGAGGGACAUUCUUCUUAGUGGGCGGUUGUGCCAGGGCCUCUACCGUCUGGAGCAUCCUGGCGUCGCUCGCGUUUUCAGUGGAGUUCGGGUCUCUCCGUCACAGUGGCAUGCUCGUCUUGGUCACCCGGCCACACCUAUUGUCCGUCAUAUUUUGCGUCGUCAUGAGCUUCCUAGUUUGUCCAGUAAUAAAGAUGUAGCAGUGUGUGAUGCUUGUCAGCAGGGGAAGAGUCAUCAACUUCCUUUUUCAGAGUCCAGUCGUGAGGUGAAACAUCCGUUAGAACUUGUGUUUUCAGAUGUAUGGGGUCCUGCUCAGACUUCUGUCAGUGGUCAUAAUUACUAUAUCAGUUUCGUUGAUGCUUAUAGUCGCUUUACCUGGCUUUACCUUAUUAAACGCAAAUCUGAUGUGUUUGAUAUUUUUGUUCAGUUUCAAAAACAUGUUGAACGUCUUCUCAAGCACAAAAUUGUUCAUGUCCAGUCGGACUGGGGGGCGAGUAUCGCAACCUCAACUCCUUCUUUCAGUCGCUUGGGAUAG
rnacentral:rRNA from 1 species